GAAAAAUGCGCAUUCAGAAGUGGGCUGCCAUCCUGCUUUUUCUGAAGUGAACAGCUGCUGGGUAUUGAAACCAGCCCUCACGGUUGGGUCCCUGCCACCAUGGCAACACUCUGGUUUCUGAGCUGGAGUGGCCAAGGCACAAUGGGGUGGUUCCAUGGCCCAGAAGCACUCUAGCUACAGAUUAGAAUGAUGACAAGAGUAAUACCUUCCUAGUGAAGAUGACUUUUAUUUCAGGACUAUAUUAAGUUUCCCAACUUCUGUCAUGAUAUAGUCCAAAGAGAACCUGGACCACGCAGACAUCAAACAGAACAUGACACUGACCCAUUCUAUCAGUGACGUUGUGCUGAUUGCACAGGACAGAUGAGAGGCUCGUAUACUAGAAGUCUUGAUGAAGAAAAAUUGUGCCCCAGCAAGGAUUAUACCCAGAGCCUCAUCCAUUCAUACCUGAUUUAGAUACUUAGAUGAUGAGUAAUAGAAAAGGUGGUUAUCAAACCUGGGUCAAAGUUGAAUCACCUGAGGAUCUUUUAGAACAUACACAGUCAUAUGAUACUUCAAAAUCUGUGAUUCCAUGAAGCCAAGAGUAGCUCUUCAACAGGAAAUGAAUGAGUGCUUCAGCUUCUGAUCCCAUUAGUAAGAAAAUACAGUCUUAUGAGCAAUGAUGGAGCUGCAUCUCUUAGGGGCAUUUGAUUCCCAAGAGACCAAAGAGCAAAGAGAAUGUCAAUUUAAAAAAAUCAAAUGUUUCCAUGACUUAGCUAUUUAACUGCUUUAAAAUGAAUGAAUGCUGCUUCAAGUUCUUUCAAAUACCCCACAUCUUGGCAACAACGAAAGGAAUUAACAUGAAGAAAAUUUACAAUCUUUCAUCACAUCGAACAAUGUCCCACAUUUGAAAAGUUC
rnacentral:lncRNA from 10 species